GCUAGUUAUUAUACAAACUCUUCAACAUCAUUUGUGCACUCCUUAUCUAAUUGGGGUAGAUUUUCAACUACUCCAUAAAGUUUUAUACCAAAAUGAAGAUCUAUUUUAUUUUUGGCACAACUGCCAAUAAAAAGAAAAGAAAAGAAAUUUAUUUGUUAUGUGCUUCAUAAUUUCAGCAAUAGCCAAAGAUGGUUGUUUGCAAAUUUGCUAUGCAAGGCAUUAGUUCUAUUAAGUAAGGAAAGACAGUUCUAUGUUUAGAUUGCUUAAGAUCACAAGGACAACAAAAGCUGAAAGUUCUCUUUCAGUCAUUUGAGGAAACAAAUGCAGAGUUGGAUAUCUUAAAUGCCCACAGGUAAUUCUUAAUAACCAUUAGCUAAGAGUUAAUUUGGACAUCCCAUAAAAUUGAAUUACUUCAUGCUGUUUUACAUAUAAAAUUUUGAUAUCAAUAUAUCUCAAGAAUAAAACUAGUUCAGGAUUUGGC
rnacentral:misc_RNA from 1 species